AUGUCGUCGCCCGCGGAGUCCGAGACCAGCUUCUUCCCGGACCACCUCGCGGAGCAGCAGCAGCAGCAGCCCCCCUUCGCCGAGCAGGAGCAGCUGUGCUAUGUCCACUGCAACUUCUGCGACACCAUCCUCGCGGUGGGCGUGCCGUGCAGCAGCCUCUUCAAGACGGUCGCCGUGCGAUGUGGCCACUGCGCCAACCUGCUCUCCGUCAACCUCCGGAACCUCCUGCUCCCGGCCACCGCCAACCAGCUCCCCUUCAGCCCGUCGCUCCUCUCCCCGACCUCGCCGGCGUCGCCGCACGGCCUCCUGGAUGAAAUGUCAUCCUUCCAAGCGCCGUCGAGCCUACUGACUGAUCAGGCCAGCCCCAACGUGAGCAGCAUCACCAGCAGCAGCAACAGCUGCGCCAUCAACACGCCGGCCAUGUCCAUGAUGCCGCCGCCGGAGAAGCCCGCGCAGAGGGAGCCCCAGCAGCGGAAGAGCGCUGCGUCGGGGACCAAGCAUCCAGAGAAGCGGCAGAGAGUUCCCUCGGCAUACAACCGAUUCAUCAAAGACGAGAUUCAGCGUAUCAAGGCCAACAAUCCGGACAUCACCCACAGGGAGGCUUUCAGCGCAGCUGCCAAGAAUUGGGCUCAUUUUCCACACAUCCAUUUCGGUCUGAUGCCGGACCAAGGCCUGAUGAGGAAGACCAGCAUCCAAAGCCAGCUGGACGGAGCUGGGGAUUGCAUGCUCUUCAAGGACAGUCUCUACGCGGCGGCGGCGGCCGCAGCAGCCACAGCGGCAUCUAGCAUGGGCGCCACUCCGUUUUAG
rnacentral:rRNA from 1 species